AUUGAACGCUGGCGGUAUGCUUAACACAUGCAAGUCGAACGGCAGCAUGGUCUAGCUUGCUAGACUGAUGGCGAGUGGCGGACGGGUGAGUAACGCGUAGGAAUAUGCCUUGAAGAGUGGGACAACUUGGGGAAACUCAAGCUAAUACCUCGUGUACUCGCGAGAGUAAAGCUGGGGACCUUUAGGCCUGGCGCUUUACGAUUAGCCUGGGUCCGGUACGCUAGUUGGUAGGGUAAAGGCCUACAAAGGGGCCGAUCGGUAGAUGGUCGGAGAGGAUGAUCAGCCACACUGGAACUGAGAGACGGUCCAGACUCCUACGGGUGGCAGCAGUGGGGAAUAUUGGACAAUGGGGGGAACCCUGAUCCAGCAAUGCCGCGUGUGUGAAGAAGGCCUGAGGGUUGUAAAGCACUUUCAGUGGGGAGGAGGUUUGGAAGGUUAAGAGCUAUUCAAAUGGACGUUACCCACAGAAGAAGCACCGGCUAACUCCGUGCCAGCCGCCGCCGUAA
rnacentral:rRNA from 1 species